ACUUCACACUACUCCCAUAAUUAUACCUACAACCAUCUCUUACAAUUCUAAUCACUCUUAACUUUAUUUGAGUGGUCCGUUGUUACGCACACCUACAAUAAAGCACGCAACAUUAGUUAAAACACACAAGAUGGUUUCAACAUGUGCAAGAUCUCUUGAAAACCAACCUGAAUCUUCUACUGCCUCCAAUGAUCACAAUGCGCAUUUGCAACAGUUGAAUGAUCAAAUUCAUGAAUAAGAGCAGCAAUUAGCUAUUCUGCAUGCACAACAGCAGCUCAACAAGUUGGAAGCACAGAUUCAUGAAGAUACUCUCAUUGAGUCUCAAUUAACCCAGAAUAUCACCACAGAACCACCACAAAAUCGAUCUGUGAACAAUAUGAAUGAUGAUAAUGAAACACCACUGAGGUUGGAGAUUAAGGACUAUUAUUGAGGAAAAAAUAUGUUAGAAUUCAAGAACUAUAAAGAUCACAUGUUGACUCUCUUUACACACCACUGCUGGUAUUAUCAAAAGAAAGAACACAAGAUAAAUGAUGCUAAACUCUAUCUUGAUGCCCACAUUAAGCAGAAGUGGUUGAAUUUUGUAUCAUCAUAUGAGAGACAUGGAGGAGCAACACUGUUGACUUUUGAUGAUAUGUUAUCACACCUAGAAAUGCAAAUUAAUGAUCCAC
rnacentral:sRNA from 1 species